rnacentral:rRNA from 1 species
CCUACGGGAGGCAGCAGUGGGGGAUAUUGGACAAUGGGGGGAACCCUGAUCCAGCGACGCCGCGUGAGUGAAGAAGUCUUUCGGUUUGUAAAGCUCUGUCAGCAGGGAAGAAAGAAAUGACGGUACUUGACCAAGAAGCCCCGGCUAACUACGUGCCAGCCGCCGCGGGAAUACGUAGGGGGCAAGCGUUAUCCGGAAUUACUGGGUGUAAAGGGAGCGUAGACGGUUAAGUAAGUCUGGAGUGAAAGGCCGGGGCCCAACCCCGGGACUGCUCUGGAAACUAGUGAACGUGAGUGCAGGAGAGGUAAGCGGAAUUCCUAGUGUAGCGGUGAAAUGCGUAGAUAUUAGGAGGAACACCAGUGGCGAAGGCGGCUUACUGGACUGUAACUGACGUUGAGGCUCGAAAGCGUGGGGAGCAAACAGGAUUAGAUACCCGAGUAGUC